AUGCCUCCUAUGAUUGAGGACACGGUGGAAAAUGUGAGGAACAUCCAACAGUCCUUAUGGGAACUCCACAAGCUGCUCACUGACCUGCCUGAUGACAUGCUGGAGGACAGCAGAGACUCCUCCUCUCCUGAGCUGGACUGCUCUGCCUGCAGCAACCCAGACACACGGAACAGAUCACAACAGCCUACGUGGAAUCACCAACACACUGAAUGGUCCGAUCGCCAAACACCUGCCUCACGUGAAGAAAACUAUGAGAAGGACUAUGACCACGGCUCCUACCAUGAAGAGUACCCCUACGAGGAGGCUGCUGUCGUUGGGCAGAUCAACGGCCAUGCCAACCAUGCCAGUCACCCCCAGGACUGGGACCAGCAAGGACUGACUGAGUACCAGCAUGUACGUCAUGUGUUUUAA
rnacentral:lncRNA from 1 species